GACGUGUUUGUAUCUCCAAUUUUAACUUUCUAUAUAAAGUUGGAUACUGUUUUAAAUUUACUAAAUUGGUUUGUUACUAUUUCGUUUAACUCUCUACCAUCAUCGAAUAAAGGUGUAAACUCGUCCACUGCUGAGACAGAGAGGCCAGUUCUCAUUUCUUUGGCGGCUCCCUGUAACGGUCAGCAAAACUCUUCCCUUCACAUUAAGGUGGCGGGGCUUACAGAACAAAAUAGAAUUCUGCGUGAAGAGAUGCUCCAGCAAGAAGUCAAUACACUUGUCAGAAACGAAGGGUGAAGAUAAUAUGCCUGUGAUUUGUUUCAUUUGCAAUGAAGAAGUGGACAUCAAAAGAAAAUUUGGAUCGGACGAUCAGCCGAUCUGUUCCAAGUGUAACAGCUACUACAGCAGAAAUAAGGAAUAAAGAAGUAGCCCCAGCUCUGGACCAGAACUUGGAUUAGGUUGGCCGCUGUAUAUACCUUAUUAACUCUA